rnacentral:rRNA from 1 species
UACGUAGGGUGCAAGCGUUGUCCGGAAUUAUUGGGCGUAAAGAGCUCGUAGGCGGUUUGUCACGUCUGCUGUGAAAACUCGGGGCUUAACUCCGGGCCUGCAGUGGGUACGGGCAGACUAGAGUGCGGUAGGGGAGACUGGAAUUCCUGGUGUAGCGGUGAAAUGCGCAGAUAUCAGGAGGAACACCGGUGGCGAAGGCGGGUCUCUGGGCCGUAACUGACGCUGAGGAGCGAAAGCGUGGGGAGCAAACAGG